rnacentral:rRNA from 1 species
AUUAAACGCUGGCGGCAUGCCUUACACAUGCAAGUCGAGCGGCAGCGCGGGGGCAACCCUGGCGGCGAGCGGCGAACGGGUGAGUAACAUAUCGGAACGUACCCCGUCGUGGGGGAUAACACAGCGAAAGCUGUGCUAAUACCGCAUACGACCUGAGGGUGAAAGCGGGGGAUCGCAAGACCUCGCGCGAUGGGAGCGGCCGAUAUCGGAUUAGCUUGUUGGUGAGGUAAAGGCUCACCAAGGCGACGAUCCGUAGCUGGUCUGAGAGGACGACCAGCCACACUGGAACUGAGACACGGUCCAGACUCCUACGGGAGGCAGCAGUGGGGAAUUUUGGACAAUGGGGGGCAACCCUGAUCCAGCCAUUCCGCGUGAGUGAAGAAGGCCUUCGGGUUGGUUAAAGACGUCUUUCUAGUCAGGAACGAAACGGUAGG